GAUGAAGAACGUAGCGAAAUGCGAUACUUGGUGUGAAUUGCAGACUCCCGUGAACCAUCGAGUCUUUGAACGCAAGUUGCGCCUCAAGCCAUUAGGUUGAGGGCACGUCUGCCUGGGCGUCACAUAUCGUUGCCUGAUGCCAGUUUCCUCGUGAUGGGUGACUGUGCAGGGCGAAUGAUGGCUUCCCGUGAGCAUUGUUGCCUCAUGGUUGGUUGAAAAUUGAGUCCUUGGUAGGGAGCGCCGUGAUAGAUGGUGGUUGAGUGACGAACGAGACCCAAUCAUGUGAGACCCCUACCGAAUUUGGCCUUCAUGACCCACAUGCGUCUUUGGAACGCUCAUGACGAGACCUCAGGUCAGGCGGGGCUACCCGCUGAGUUUAAGCAUAUCAAUAAGCGGAGGA
rnacentral:misc_RNA from 1 species